ensembl:lncRNA
CCAGCCAGACACAACCUACAGGACGCCAGACACAACCUACAGGACAUCAGCCUCUCCUAGCCAGACACAACCUACAGGACACCAGACACAACCCACAGGACACCAGCCUAUCCCAGCCAGACACAACCCACAGGACACCAGCCUCUCCCAGCCAGACACAACCCACAGGACACCAGCCUCUCCCAUCCAGACACAACCCACAGGACACCAGCCUCUCCCAGCCAGACACAACCUACAGGACGCCAGACACACCCUACAGGACGCCAGACACAACACACAGGACACCAGCCUAUCCCAACCAGACACAACCUACAGGACGCCAGACACACCCUACAGGUCACCCACAUCUCCCAGCCAGACACAACCCACAUGACACCAGCCUCUCCCAGCCAGACACA